GCGCCGUGGGCGGCGGGCGGUCACGCGCCUUCGUGUCCUGCUGGGCGCCGCUUACUUGCCUCCGCCCGCAGGUGCGGCGGCGGCGGUGGCGGCGCCCUCGAGCCGCGGAGCGGCGGCUGGAGGAUGGGCACCCAGGGCAGUCCAGUGAAGAGCUACGACUAUCUACUCAAGUUCCUGCUGGUGGGCGACAGCGACGUGGGCAAGGGCGAGAUACUGGAAAGCCUACAGGACGGCGCGGCCGAGUCCCCGUACGCCUACAGCAACGGGAUUGAUUACAAAACAACCACUAUCCUGCUGGACGGCCGGCGUGUCAAGCUGGAGCUGUGGGACACGUCGGGCCAGGGCAGGUUCUGUACCAUCUUCAGGUCCUACUCCAGGGGCGCUCAGGGCAUCCUCCUGGUAUACGAUAUUACCAACCGCUGGUCCUUUGAUGGCAUCGACCGGUGGAUCAAGGAGAUAGAUGAGCAUGCACCUGGGGUUCCUCGGAUUCUGGUUGGGAACCGGCUGCACCUGGCCUUCAAGCGGCAAGUGCCAACAGAGCAGGCUCGUGCCUAUGCAGAGAAGAACUGCAUGACCUUCUUUGAGGUCAGCCCCCUGUGCAACUUCAAUGUCAUCGAGUCCUUCACAGAGCUCUCUCGCAUCGUGCUCAUGCGGCAUGGGAUGGAGAAGAUUUGGAGGCCCAAUCGAGUGUUCAGCUUGCAGGAUCUGUGCUGCCGUGCCAUCGUCUCCUGCACCCCUGUACAUCUCAUCGACAAGCUUCCACUGCCUGUAACUAUCAAGAGUCACCUCAAGUCCUUCUCAAUGGCAAACGGCAUGAAUGCUGUCAUGAUGCAUGGCCGUUCCUACUCCCUGGCCAGUGGGGCCGGAGGCAGCAGCAGCAAAGGCAACAGCCUUAAGCGGUCCAAGUCCAUCCGUCCCCCCCAGAGCCCUCCCCAGAACUGCUCUCGGAGCAACUGCAAGAUCUCCUAGCAGUGCCAGUGAGGAUCACCUAUGCAGACUCUGGGAGGCUCACUGGGGCGCUCCUGACCAGCUGACUUCAGGGGUCAGUCUGCUGCCAGAGCCUGGAAGCCACCCUGGAGUGUGCCCCAACCAACUGAGCCCCAGCCUGUGGGUGGACGCCCAGAGCACCUGUGAGCGGGACUGUACUGGGGACCAGCUGAGCAUCCUUCUGUGUGACGGUCCAGGAGCGGCAGGUUGUCUCCUUCCACAUGCAUACUUGACCCUCGUGCUUCCUCAAGGACCACCUGAAUUCCAGGGGUGGAAUUCCUUGCCUUCUCUCUUGUUGUGUGAAGCUGCUUUAAGGAAUGCCCACAGUGUCCAGCAAACAGCAUUGUGUUUAAUAGUACUUCACCCUAGGUUGAUGCCCAUCAAACAUGUUCAUCACUCUGAGCUCCGUGUCAGGUAGGCCACACACCUUCCCUGGGUACUGACUGAGAUCACUGCCUAACAGAAAAGCAGUAGAUAUGGCUGAUCUGAGGUCAUCGUAUGGACACAUUUCCUGGAAAGUAGGUGUGUCAGAUACUAGCACCCAUCAAGGACAUUGAGGGACAACAUCUCUGUGGGUAGCCAAAGUUGAAUUUAUUGAAGCCAGAUUAUUAUUGGGAUCAGAAGUGCCAACUCCUGAGAAUGAGUUGGCUCCUGAAUGUCCCUCUUCAGGGACUUAUGUAAUACUGAGUGGAAGGACCAUGGCAGAAGCCACUUUUCCAGCAUGGUUCAGAAAGCUACUAGUCCUGGAUUCAAGAUUCUUGAGUUCUUCUGCUCUCACAGUGGCACCUCCUAACAUUAGCCUUAGUCCUUGUCCCCAUUCUCUGGAUGUACUUCCUCUUCCCACCUGGCCCAGUUGUCUCAGGUCUGGCCUAUAAGAAGUGCUGGCCAAUGCUUGAUGAGUGAGGGUCAGAUCCUAUGAUGCCUCAGCCAUCUUCACCAUGUCCAGAGCCAGCAGCAGGACCCAGCCUGUCUUCUGGGCUCAGACCUACAUGCCCACUGUUCCUUGUGAAGUAGGAUAUACAAGAAAAUGUAAAAAUGAGCAAAAAAGAAAGAAAAAAAAAAACAAAAUAUUUUUUUUUUUAUUUUUUUGAGACAGGAUUUCACUGUGCAGCUCAGGCUGGCCUUGAACUCACUUUGUUUUCCACACUGCCUCUGAAUUUGGAGCAAUCCUCCUGCCUCAGCCUCCCAAGUUCUGAGAUUAUGGGGGGGGGUGCCACCAAGUCCAGUGUCUUGAUUACUUUUCUUUUAUUGCUGGACAAAAUACCCAACACCCCAGAUUAAGGAAGGAAAGGUUUAUUUAGCUUACAGUUGUGGAGAUUUCAGUCUAUAAUCAGCUGGCUUCAAGGCAAGGUGGAUGGCACCCCCACAUACAGCACUUCAAGGAAGCAGCCAGAGCAAAAUGGGGCAGAGCAAGCCUCUUCUCCCUUAUAGUGUACACAGGCCCCUCUCACCACCCACUCUUUACCCCUGCCAGGGUAGGUAUAGCACUCAGAAAAUCUCUGUGCCUUCCUUUUGCACAGGAUGAGGUUAUUUACAAAGUAAGAAGCCUGGCUCUUUGCUGAGUCAGUUAAACUUCUAAACUCUUCAAGUUGACAGUGUAUCAACCAUAACACUCAGUGAGACUAGGAUUUUAAAGUUGUAUUUUCAGGGCCAGAGGUUUAGCUCAACUGUGCAGCACCUACCUGACAAGUGUGAGUUCCAGAGUUCGAUUCCCAGUGCCUACAAAAAACUUUAGUUUUAAACUUGACAUAAUGGGGGCUGGGGAUUUAGCUCAGCGGCAUAAGCACCUGCCUUGCAAGCAGGCAGUCGUGAGUUCAAUCCCCAGUACUGAUAAAAAGGAAAAAGACAAAAAAAAAAAAAAAAAAAAAACUUGACAUGAUGCCAGAUGUGGUGGCAAGCACCUAUAAUCCUAGCAUUCUGGAAGCUGAGGCAGGAGGGUCAUUGUGAGUUCGAGACCAGCUUGGGUUACAAAGUGAGCUCAAGGCCAUUUUGUACUGCCUAGUAAGACUAUAUCUAAAUAAAUAAAAGGUUUUAAAACUUAAAAUGAUACUUUAACAUAGAUAAUCUAGCCAGGAAUGGUAACACACACCUGUAAUCAAAGCACUUAGGAGACCAAGGCAGAAGGAUCUCUGUGAAUUCAAGGCCAGUCUACAUUACAUAGGAAGGUCCUGUCUCAAAAAAGAAAGAUGGGGACAGGGGAUGGGGAAGGAAUGAAUGGAUCUAUAUCUCAGCAGGAAGUCCCAGUACUAAAAAAAAGAAAAGAAAGAAAGAUGGAUAAUCUAGUCAGUAUAUCCCUAUUCUCUGUGAGGUUACCCAUCUGGCAGGCUAUGCCAGAAUGCAGCCAUUUACAUGUGUUUGAAGCUGCAACAUGCUGCCUACUAAUAUUGCUGCUUCCCUGAGGAUGGAGAGGAAGUACAAUUUACAGAUAAAAGGAAAAGGUACAUUAAAAAAAAAAAAAAAGGCGGGAGAGGUCCAAAUGUGUAGGCUUAUUGUAUCUUUUUUUGUGCUGGGGAUUGAAUUUAUGACCUCACGCUUUCCAGGAGCUUAUUGUGUCUUUAAGACCUUUAGGAAUUUUUUGAGUGAGUCUCUUAGAACAGAAAAAGGAUCCAGUAACUUUGCUGUACUGAGGUUGCAGUUUUCUGUUAAUUUAUUUGUUUUUGUCUUUUGAGACAGGGUCUGGAUAUGUAGUUUGUAGCCCAGGCUGGUCUCAAACUUGCAACAAUCCUCCUGCCUCAGCCUCCAGAGUGCUCAGAUUAUAGGAGUGCGCCACCAUGCCCAGCUAGCAGUUUGUUUGUUUUUUUAAUCAGUACCAGGGAUCAAACUCACGACUGCCUGCUUGCAAAAGCAGGCGCUUAUGCCGCUGAGCUAAAUCCCCAGCCUCACAGUUUUCUUUUUAAAUAUACCCUAAGACUCAGUAAAUGUACCCAGCUUUGCUCAUGUGGUGACUUUUCUCCCUUGAAAGCCCACUUUCUCUGAGUAUGUUUUCCUGAGUUUCUGCCUAAUAAACCUUUUCUGUGCCUCUUA